rnacentral:rRNA from 1 species
GAUGAACGCUAGCGGCAGGCCUAACACAUGCAAGUCGAGGGGUAACAUAGGAAAGCUUGCUUUUCUGAUGACGACCGGCGCACGGGUGCGUAACGCGUAUACAACCUACCUUUUAGCGGGGAAUAGCCCAGGGAAACUUGGAUUAAUGCCCCAUAGUAUAUGGACUUCUCCUGAAGUUUAUAUUAAACAUUUAUGGCUAUUAGAUGGGUAUGCGUCCUAUUAGUUAGUUGGUAAGGUAACGGCUUACCAAGGCAGCGAUAGGUAGGGGUCCUGAGAGGGAGAUCCCCACACUGGUACUGAGACACGGACCAGACUCCUACGGGAGGCAGCAGUGUGGAAUAUUGGACAAUGGGCGAGAGCCUGAUCCAGCCAUGCCGCGUGCAGGAAGACUGCCCUAUGGGUUGUAAACUGCUUUUACAGAGGAAGAACCACCCCCACGUGUGGGGGUUUGACGGUACUCUGCGAAUAAGGAUCGGCUAACUCCGUG